rnacentral:misc_RNA from 1 species
AAGGCAGGCACACGAGCGCUCUCGGGCCGCCACCCACGCACCCACACAUCACGCACAGCUGCGCUGCAUCGUCCGUUUCUUUCACAGCCGCAAACCCCUCCUCCUCCUCCUCCUUUCCUCUUCGCAUCCACCCCUUCUUACGUGGCGCGCAUCGCCUCCGCUCGCGCGCUCUCCCCCCCCCUCCUCCUCCUCCUCAGCAAGCAUUACUCUGAAACUCCUUCGACUUGCACCAACGUCCUUUUCCCUUUCUUCGGGGUUUCCCGCCUUCGUCCCUCCACCCCACAGCGCGCGCACACACACGCACACGCACGCCUUCGUCGUCUUCUGUCGAGCAAGGACAAGACGCGCAGACUGACAGGCACAUUGGCACGCAAGGCCUCCGCUAAACGAUACCCCAGCAACCAAUGCAGCAACAACCGAGGCCGGUGGUGGCGCAGUAUGCGUAUAUCGAGCUUCUCCCGCUCAUAUACACCGGUCCCGCUCCACCCCCUGCGCCGGCGUGCAUGGACCCGACACCGGAUGAACAGUACCGCCGGGGCGUUGCUGAAAAGAAGGAGGCGCUGAAGCAGAAGGAGGCGCGACGGCAGAUGUCCUCCAGCGGCAGCGGAAUGCUUGCCAGCCUCAAGAGCGCUGUCUCGCAGGCAGUCAUGACCGUGGAGAAGGGGGCCGCCGACGUGUCGACCCGCACGGAGUCGCAGGUGCGUCAGCUCGAGUACCAAUACGACUGCGACCGCUUUAACCUGCACUUCCACGAGCUUGCCGAGAGCGGCGAGGUGCUGCUUGCCGACUACCGCUGCAGCGCGAUGCACGGCGGCCUUCAAGUCAAAGGCCACAUCCAGAUCACACGGCAUUAUCUGUGCUUCUUCGCGGAGACCUCCUCGAGCAUCGCCAAGACGACGGACGCCGUCAUGGGCGUCUUUGCGGCAGCCCGCCACCCGACCAACCCCAACGAUGAGCCGCGGAGCAGGCCUGUUGGCGUCAAGCAGGUGAUUGCGCUGGCCAGCAUCGUUUCUAUUCAGCCUUCUGUGGUGCUCGAGAGCAUCGGCGGUCAGGCGCCCUUCUUCAUGCUGCUUCCCGCACCAACGGUGCGCCCGACAGCGCUGCAGCUGUACACGCAGGACAGCAAACUCUACCAGUUCAUGAACUUCGAGUCGCUCAUCUCCCGCGCCUCUGGGGCGCUCAACGACGUCGUCAAGGGCACCGCACUGGAUCAAGCGUACAACUACCUCGACCAUGCGUGGCGUGAUACGGUGAAUUUGCAAUCAAAGGAUGUCUAGUAGGCGUAAGGUGCCUUGCCGUCGCCCCUUCGCUUCUCAUUCGGCACACGUUGCCCUCCGGCUCACCGCCUUGCCUUUCGUUGCCGUGAAGCAGAGCCGACGGGCAUGGCAGACCGCGUCAACGCUGCCGCACAGCUUUCGUCGGGGGCCGGAGGAGAAGCGGCGCCGCGCGGGGUGGUCUCAGCAGGGGACCGCCGAAUACAGGCGAAAGGGAGGGGGGCGAGUCAGUUCAGCUACUUUGGGCGGAGGCAACUCCUUGGCGGCGGCGGCGGCGGCGGGGGGAGGGACUCCACUUGGACAUACACAAGUCGGAUUCUCCUUCCUCCUCCAUCAACACCCCGGCCCCCCUCCUCCUCCUCCUCCUCUCCCACUGCCUUGCUUAUCACAUGCGCACUCGGGCAGGCGGCAUCAAAAGCGAUCGGCAGGGCUGAACUCGCCUGUGUUCGCCAAAGUCACCCAUCCUCCUAUAUUAUCUAUAUUUAUCUAUUCUGGCCCCCUCCCCCUCCUCCGCUUCACAACCGUGUUUGCUCUCUUUUCGCACCUUUUCUCGCUGCGGCCCACCACCGCACAGGCUCAGAUCGGACACCUCCGUCUGUCUGCGUCUGUGUGUGUGUGUGUGUGCGUGGGAUAACCCACGUUGAUGGGGCACCUGUGCUCCUCCCGUCUUUUAUCGCUUGUUCUCUGACCAGAUGUUCGCGUGUUUGUGUGUGUGUGUGUGAAGAGUGAAGAGGGAGUGGAACAGACAGACAUGGCUGCAUGGAUGGAUCACGAUGGGCCGAGAGGUUUGUGCCGGCGUGUCGUCUUCGCUGGCUGUGCCGCCUUUUUUUUUUGCUUUUUCGUUGCCUCGUCGCUUUUCGGAUGUGGGCGAUUCAUGUCGAGUGGGGGCGUGCCUUUGGACCGUGUAGGCUGGCAGCUAACCUUCGCUCGCACAGGCACGCCCACCCUCACCCCACCGUCCCUGCCGCUUCUCCCCUCCUUCUCCAGACGGCAAGUGCGCGCACCAGCCCGUGCGGCAGAAUGCAUCUUUUGUAUGCUAUCCUUCUGAUUAUCUAUCGCGGCAUGCAUAUAUUUCUGGGGACAUGACGGUGCGACGCGAUCGUGGGGAAGGGGGAAGAGGAGGAGGACCGUGUGGCUCUCUUUCUCCAGUGCAAGCGUGAUCUCUAUUAUAUCGGGCACUGUUUCUUCUAGUCUGCAUUCUCUAUGGGAAAGGGGUCCCCAGUGACCCGAUGGCCCCCUCCCUUCUCUCCCGUGAUUUCCACGGUGCGUGUCUCCAAAGUAAGUCCCGCCCACCCCGCUCCACCUCACCGGCCUCCGUCAUGUCUGCACUUGGUGAGAAAGGCGGCUUCGCACUCUCGCCAACAAUCAGACACAGCCAAUACACGUGUAUUGAUACUCUUGUAGGAAAGGCUCGCCCUCUCCCUGUCGGUAUGAACUCUGUGUAGGGGGGGAAGUGGGCACGGUCGCCCACGCAUCCCACAUGUCGGAUCGAUGGAGACGAAUAUGCGGAUUCGCUGAAUGGCCUUGCUGU